ACGCUCGACACCUACGGGAGCAGCAGUGGGGAAUAUUGCACAAUGGGGGAAACCCUGAUGCAGCGACGCCGCGUGAGUGAAGAAGUAAUUCGUUAUGUAAAGCUCUAUCAGCAGGGAAGAAAGUGACGGUACCUGAGUAAGAAGCCCCGGCUAACUACGUGCAAGCAGCCGACGGUAAUCUGAGCGGGCUGGCAAGGC
rnacentral:rRNA from 1 species